GGUGACAGGGAGGAAGUGGGGAGCAUAACUUGGCUAAUAUGGAAGUAAAAUUAUUCACCCCUUGAAAAGUUCAUUAAUACUUGCGUUUCGAAUUAAUUUUUGCCGGAAAACUAAAGAAAUUUGAAAGUGUUCUUGUAUUAAGUCUCCGAGCGCAGUCUUGCAUAUUGUAUUUCGGCAACGGGGGAGGACGGGUUCAAGUCAGGUCAUGGUCAGGUUAGGUUAUACAGGUAACUCGAUUUAUGCGGGUAUUGUGUCCUUGAAGAGUUGGCGUAAAUGAAAAUCAAUGUAAAUCGAACAAGAGGUCGGUUUGUACCUUUAUUGCCUACCGUAUCACUCUGACUCCUCUCCCUCUCGUGGUUCCUCCUCUGGCUGCCCUUCCCCUCGUGGUAGCACAGCAGCGAGGGUAUUUUUGAUGUUGAGUUGGGUAGCGUGGGUACUGUAUUGUUGUUCAAGUGGCGCGCGGGAAGAACCGAGCUCAGCUAUGUGGCCGCGGCGCCGUGUAAGUCGAGUCGCGUGAGACGUCUGGUGGACACUCCAUAAAAUAUCGCGUCUAAGUGAAAAAAAACGUGUAAAUUAAACAUUUAUUUGGAUUUUGGACCCCGUGUCAUUUCAAAAACACGUAAACCAAACUCGCGUUAACCGAGAGUUACCAGAAAAGGUGUUGUAUUAUGUUAACGAGCGCAGUCUAGCACACAGCAUUUCAGCAUGAGGUGGCGGUACAGGCUUGGUUAUAGUUAGGUUAGGUUAGGCUUGGUUAUAGUUAGGUUAGGUUAGGUUUGGUUAUAGUUAGGUUAGGUUAGGUUUGGUUAUAGUUAGGUUAGGUUAGGUUUGGUUAUAGUUAGGUUAGGUUAGGUUUGGUUAUAGUUAGGUUAGGUUAGGCUUGGUUAUAGUUAGGUUAGGUUAGGCUUGGUUAUAGUUAGGUUAGGUUAGGCUUGGUUAUAGUUAGGUUAGGUUAGGCUUGGUUAUAGUUAGGUUAGGUUAGGCUUGGUUAUAGUUAGGUUAGGUUAGGUUUGGUUAUAGUUAGGUUAGGUUAGGCUUGGUUAUAGUUAGGUUAGGUUAGGCUUGGUUAUAGAUAGGUUAGGUUAGGCUUGGUUAUAGUUAGGUUAGGUUAGGUUUGGUUAUAUCGGGUUCGGUCAGGUUGGGUUUCGUUAUCGGGUUCGUCAAGUUUAAUUGUUGACGAAAAUUUCUGAUAUGCUUUACGCUGUAUAGUUGUUGGCAUUAGCGGCAGGAAAGACUAUGCUUAUCUCUGGGUUGGGGUGAUAGAGGAGAGGUGGGGUGCAUGUUUUGUGGUGGGGAAGAUAUGGGGAGCAUGUUUUGUGGGUGGGGGUGAUGCAAGGGUGAUGGGGAGGAUGUUUUGUGGGUGUGAUUGUAGAGGUUGGGAUA